UACGGGGGAGCAAGCGUUGUUCGGAUUUACUGGGCGUAAAGGGCGCGUAGGCGGUCAGCACAAGUCAGUUGUGAAUCUCCGGGCUUAACUCGGAAAGGUCAACUGAUACUGUGCGACUAGAGUGCAGAAGGGGCAACUGGAAUUCUCGGUGUAGCGGUGAAAUGCGUAGAUAUCAGGAGGAACACCAAUGGCGAAGGCAGCUCGCUGGGACGGUACUGACGCUGAGACGCGAAAGCGUGGGGAGCAAACAGG
rnacentral:rRNA from 1 species